GACCUGAACCGUAUCCAUCAUCACACUUAAUCUCCACCGUGCACCUUUCAUUCCCACAAACACACACAACACAACACACAAACCUCACGACUUUAUUCGAGCUGAGAGUUUCUCGAUCACUCUCCCAAUCUAGGUAUCACGACUCUCGAUGUCAGACCUCACGACUUCAUCCAUUUUCUAUCUGUCGGUUCAUCGUUGCUUCUUCCUCGUCUCUAUUUGUUCUUCAUCGAUCGAGGUCCCUCCCACCCACCAUUUGACCAUUGAUUGAGGUCCCUUUCAUCUCCAUCGAUUGCGAUCCCUCCCAUCAUCCAAAAGUUGCAGAGAAUCAGAGACGCAUGAGCAGCACAAACGGUGACAGGGAAGACGAUGCAGUGGUACAAGGGAUUUUAGUACGACGGGACCCGAUUUAACCUGAUCGAUGAAGAUGACGAAUAAGGAAGACGACGUUAACGGUCUGAGCUGCAUCUGGGUUUUCUAGCGCUAUUUGGCCAUUGUUGCAUCUGGGUUUUCCGGCGCCAUCCGAUUUGAGCAUCUAGGUUGUCACGGAGGAGGCGGUUGCUCGACCACUGAGGUAGACGACUUGAAUGACAUUGUUAUUUUUGUGCUAAAGAAAAAAUAAAUGUAAUAGGAACUAUGGAUCCGCCCGAACCGGUCCGUUUGAAACGGGCCAGGUUAGGGUCGAUUCUAAAACUCAAAAUCUCUUCACCCCGGCUCGGCUUGCCCCGUUACAGAUUAAAACGGGUAGGGUCUGAUAUCUCUAAAUUUGAGCCCAGCUCGGUCCGUGCCCAUCCUUAUACAUUACUUAUUUGAUACUGUUCAUUGUUUACUGAUUUA